rnacentral:rRNA from 1 species
GACGAACGCUGGCGGCGUGCUUAACACAUGCAAGUCGAACGGAAAGGCACUGCUUUUGUGGGGUGCUCGAGUGGCGAACGGGUGAGUAACACGUGAGUAACCUGCCCUUGACUUUGGGAUAACUUCAGGAAACUGGGGCUAAUACCGGAUAGGAGCUCCUGCUGCAUGGUGGGGGUUGGAAAGUUUCGGCGGUUGGGGAUGGACUCGCGGCUUAUCAGCUUGUUGGUGGGGUAGUGGCUUACCAAGGCUUUGACGGGUAGCCGGCCUGGGAGGGUGACCGGCCACAUUGGGACUGAGAUACGGCCCAGACUCCUACGGGAGGCAGCAGUGGGGAAUAUUGCACAAUGGGCGGAAGCCUGAUGCAGCAACGCCGCGUGCGGGAUGACGGCCUUCGGGUUGUAAACCGCUGUCGCCUGUGACGAAGCGUGAGUGACGGUAAUGGGUAAAGAAGCACCGGCUAACUACGUG